rnacentral:lncRNA from 1 species
CGUCGCACCAUCAAUCUAGGCCGUUGAAAUGAAACGCCAGAUUUGAUCUACGCUUAAGAUUUUGCUGUAAUCCUCACGCUCACACAUAACGCGUCACCUCGGUCACCACCAGCCGUCAACAAUAAGUAGCCGCAGUAGCCUUUUAGAGGAAUGGGCGCUACAUCCAACUGUCACCUUAGAAAUACGCAGCAGCUGUCAAAUCAUUUAACGUCAGAAACUCCCGCCUCGGAUCAAGCUCCUCACUCAACUUUACAAAACUUGAGCGCACCUGAAGGGGAGUUCCCUGUAGGUCAUCGCCUCGGUCGCUGCGUUCCCUCCUAAACUUUACAAAGUUUUAGCCAUCUCCCAACGCGUCGUCCCCUUUUGGUCAGCACAGCGGUGGCAAAUGAGCUCCUCAAUCAACUUUACAAAGUUUAGGCGCACCUAACGCGGAGUCCCCUGUGGGUCAUCGCCUCGAUCGCUGCGUUUCCUUCUAAGCUUAACAAAGUUUUAGCCAUCUCCCAACGCGUCGCCCCCUGUGGGUCAGCGCACUGGUGGCAGAUGAGCUCCUCACUCAACUUUACAAAGCUUAGGUGCACCUGACGCGGAGUUCUCUAUGGGUCAUCGCCUCGGUCACUGCGUAGACCAUCUCCCCACACAUCGUCCAGCUUGUUAGCACCUCAACCUCAUGUAAUUUUUUUCCCUCACACAGUGGCGAAGAUUUAACGCAUCUGCCUAUAAUCAACACUUCGGUGAACAUAGAAAAUCGACCCUCAAGUUCUCACAAGUCACGGUCCCUAUUCCCGAGGCGCACAUACUCGAUCAGGAAGACAAGUCCACCCAUGAUAUAAAUAUUCAUACCUGGACUUGGGGGGCCACUGUUACGCCCCUAACUGAACCACUUCGGAAAGUCCACCACCACAUCAGGCGAGGUGUGGAACGCUCAUCCGAAGUGGUUACCCUAAGUGGUUUCGAUGUGACUUCACCAAUGAAGAUGAUCUACUAUCACACUACGAGGCAUAGGUAAUUCUGCAGGGCUGAUCGAAACGCUCUAGCCCCCUGAAUUCGAGGAGAAACGAACCCUGUGGACCCCGAUCUGAGGAUUCGCCGUCGAUUUCAGAAUGAGAUCUUUGUCAAGAUCUUUUUUGCCCCUAACAUUUAAAAUA